rnacentral:lncRNA from 1 species
GUUCUAAAUGGAUCAGCAGGAGGCCAGAGCAUCAGGAGGAUUCUGGAGCUCAUGUGGGAGGAAGUCCUGCAGGUAGGAGGAGGGAAGAGAGAACAGGAAGGAAAAAAAGCAAAUGACCUGAGCAAAGCUGUUUCCCUUGUCUAGACCUCCUGUGUCCUCUGUCUGUGGGAGAUGAGAAGGGGUUAGAGGAGGUGGCCCCCAUUGUCUGCCUUUCUGCACAGACACCUGUAAUCACAGGUUCCAUCAGAUUCCCUGUCCCUCUGUGGAAGCUGCUCGCCACAGUGAGAACCUCAGCUCCAGAGUGGAGUUGCCUAGCAACUCAGAGUCCUGAAAAGAAAGGAAGAAAACAGAGGAGCCAGACAGGAAAGGGCAGAGGGAGUAGGCCUGGCAGAGGCAGGAAGUAAUCAGCGCUAUUGCGGCCAGUCUUGAAUAGGGUUGAAUGUGAUGGGUCAUUCCAGUUGACCUGUGAUGGUGCUUACGCUCAGUCUAACAUCAUGGAAGAUUCCAACUGAACCCUAGAAGAAGGCAUACCUAAGGAUGGAGAGAAAAGUGACAGCCAAACAAGGACCUCAAAGCUUGAAGAAUAUUAGAGCUGAUGGAGAAUUGACAGGAGAGAAGAGAAGUCUAGACACUAUUACCAGCAUGAUGAAAGGAAGAAGAAACUACUCCCUCCUCAAUACUCAAGAGACAUACUGAUUGGACCCAGCUCGGCGCCAUCAUCUCCUGAUAAGAAAGAAAGUCCUUGGAACUAUAGCUCACUUCCAUAGAGCCCAUGUAAGCUAGAGAAAGCCACCCUUGGAGUCACUGCUGGUUUCAGCUCCAUUAAGAAGCUCUGACUGAAGUAAAAACAGAAACUCAUCAACAGAUGAGUUUUCCAAGAGAGUGAAACCUCCAGGCCCCAGAAACAUGAAUCCACAAAGCUAAGAAAGUCUGAAGAUCCUAAGUUUCCCCUCACCCUUAGGGUGGCAAAGGGGGUACAAAUGAUGUCAUCUCAUAUGAUUAAGAAUAUAUUGUGUAAAUAGUACCUAG